GCGCGUCCACGGAUAAGCGGAGAGGGUGGGUUAUGUUAAAAGGUCUGGAGGAGAAAGGGGUUUGGGGGUCGCAGAGAGGGGUCCGGGAAGCGCCUGGCAAGCGGCUCUCCAGCUUAAAGGACUUGUCUGAAGUUAUGGAGCUUCUGGAGAGAAAGGCUUAAAAUUUGCAUGCAUACCAUUUCUCUAAAAGGCAUUCCUCUGAGUGAUGCUAUUGAUUGGCUGUCUGAGAAUCUGUUACUGGAGGGUUGGCUUCUUCAUGGCACAUGAUGUCUUCUUCCUAAUACCGUUGGUGACAGCUGUGAUGCAAUUCAGUGCCCAGGAUUUCAAUUGCUGUAUCCAGAUUCUCAAACCAUGUCUUAAUUGCCUGCUAUGCCUGAGUACUCUGCCAAGAUACAGGAGGGCAGCAACAGGCCGGGAGAGGACAUUUUCCCAUGGAUUUGGCUUUAGCUGGUCCAGGCUCAUGAGCUCUUAGGCUUGUUUCUUUUGUGACUGCUUUCCCCAGGAGGCUUCCAUGCAACA